rnacentral:tRNA from 1 species
UGUGUAAAAGUCAAAAAGAGAGACAAAUUAUUGUUAAUAAUUCAAAUGGAAGUUAAUCCUUACACAA